CGAAUAGGCUUUUGAUUUGACGUUACCCAAAAAAAUAAGCACCGGCUAACUCUGUGCCAGCAGCCGCGGUAAUACAGAGGGUGCGAGCGUUAAUCGGAAUUACUGGGCGUAAAGGGCGCGUAGGCGGUUAUGUAAGUUAGAUGUGAAAUCCCCGGGCUUAACCUGGGAAUGGCAUUUAAUACUGUAUGACUAGAGUAGAGUAGAGGGAAGUGGAAUUUCCGGUGUAGCGGUGAAAUGCGUAGAUAUCGGAAAGAACACCAGUGGCGAAGGCGGCUUCCUGGACUCAUACUGACGUGAGCGCGAA
rnacentral:rRNA from 1 species